CCUACGGGAGGCAGCAGUGGGGAAUAUUGCGCAAUGGGCGAAAGCCUGACGCAGCGACGCCGCGUGAGGGAUGACGGUCUUCGGAUCGUAAACCUCAGUCAGCAGGGAAGAACGGUCACUGUGCUAAUCAGCAGUGCAUUUACGGUACCUGCAAAGGAAGCACCGGCUAACUCCGUGCCAGCAGCCGCGGUACUACGGAGGGUGCGAUCGUUCAUCGUAAUUACUGGGCGUAAAGAGGUAGUAGGCGGUAUGUCAAGUCAAGGGUGAAAUCCCCGGGCUAAACGUGGUAACUGCCUUUGAAUGUGGCAAACUGGAGUGUGCGGGAGGAUAGUGGAAUUCCAGGUGUAGGAGUGAAAUCCUUAGAUAUCUGGAGGAACAUCAGUGGGGAAGGCGACUAUCUGGCACAUAACUGACGCUGAGGAGCGAAAGCGUGGGUAGCAAACAGGAGUAGAAACCCCAGUAGUC
rnacentral:rRNA from 1 species